GGGCUCAUGGUCUAGCUGGUUAUGACGUCGCUCUCACACAGCGGAGAUCACCGGUUCGAAUCCGGUUGAGCCCA
rnacentral:tRNA from 1 species